rnacentral:lncRNA from 1 species
GAGGUUUUGACCAACCACUCUUUGGUUCUGAAAAUUAUUAGACAAAAGACUUAAUAUAUUAUAGUUAUGAAAUUGAAAUCCUCCCAAAGAUUGUUAUAUACCAUUGUGAAAACACUUGACUCCUGAAUUCAACAUGGACUGACUGAAGGAACGUUGUUGUUCACUUGAAUGUCCGUUAAAACGAGUUUCUCGUAAGAAAGAGUCAUGUGAAUCGACUUGUUCUUCAUGAUAAUUAUGGGCUUGGUGUUGGUCCUAACAUGACCAAACAGUUGGGUUAUAAGCACACUAUCACCAUCAAUAGCGCUAUUAGCUUAGAUUAUGGUCCAUGUCAAAGUGUAGUAAUAACUGGAUUUAAUGCUAGUUAAUUAGAUUUGUGAUUAUUUAACUGUUGAAAACAUACUAAGGAGAUCAUUUUCAUUCAUCAUAUACACAUGGAUCAAUCCAAUAAACUAUUCAUGCGUCUUUCCCUGCAUUCAAUAAAUUUGGAAAUUAUUCUGCAUUUCAUUUAUAUCCAACGAUUUUAUCCUUGAUAAAUUAGUACACAAUAUUAUUUAAAAAUUCAAUUGUGGAAGAGAAAGCGAAGAAUAUACCAUUAAUGGAAGAUAUUGGUUGGGUGAAUCGGAGAAAUUUAUAAGAUUCAACAUUGGCGAUUCA